UGUAUUGCUAGUCUGGCAGCAGCGGGAAAGGGGAGGGGGGAGGCGUUGUACGGAUGUAGUGGGUGGAAAGAUGUGGUAGGCGGCUCAGUAAGUCGGGGGUGUAAACUCCAGGCUCAACCUGGCGACGCCAACCGAGCGUGGUGUGGCUAGAGUCCGGUAGGGGAGCAUGGAAUGCCUGGUGUAGCGGGGAAAUGCGCAGAUAUCAGGAGGAACACCAGUGGCGAAGGCGGUGCUCUGGGCCGGAACUGACGCUGAGGAGCGAAAGCGUGGGGAGCAAACAGGAUUAGAUACCCUGGUAGUC
rnacentral:rRNA from 1 species